rnacentral:lncRNA from 1 species
GCCCAAAAUGCUUAAGCCCAGUUAUUAUUACUAGUGUCUAAGUCUCUUAUAAACCCAAUGACAACCCCAUUCCUAUCCGAUGUGGGACUAUUGGGGUGUCACAGACUCCCCCCGUUAAGGUCCUGACGUCCUCGUCAGUCCAAUCACACACAGCCCAAGAUCACCAGGCUAUGUGAGACUCGUCUCGCUAGCCCGUCAUCCAGACCCUGGCUCAGCCGAGACUCGCCACACAUGUCCAGCUGGUGAACCGGCUCUGAUACCAAAUGUAACGACCCAGCCCACUAGCAACAAUAACUCGUUGGGCCCAACCACUGGCCCAAAAUGCUUAAGCCCAGUUAUUAUUACUAGUGUCUAAGUCUCUUAUAAACCCAAUGACAACCCCAUUCCUAUCCGAUGUGGGACUAUUGGGGUGUCACACUUGGAUAAUUUAGUUUCUCUUCCUAUCUCAGGUAUUCUACUGUACGGUGUGGAACAUAUAGUAAAUCUUCAUCAGAAUGCGUAUGAGAAGGUGGCAGGACUAAUACCCCUUUAUAUAGAAUGCAAAUCGAUUCCCCAUCAAAGUCUAGGAUUCUAUUUAAUUUAAAUAGAUAGGAUAGGGAUAAAAUAUAUCAUAUCAAGUAGUUCUAUAUCUAUUAGUAUUAACCUUUAUCUAUAGUAAAUCCAAAUUUGAAUAUGAUUGAUUGGGCCAUAUUUAUGGAAAUCCUAACAAUCUCCCACUUGACUCAUAUUAAUCAUACUCCAUGAGCUGAUUUUUUAUACUCCAAACUUUAUUGCGCAUUAUUGAAAAUUUUAUGGUCAAAUACUUUAGAACUCGCUUGAUUUUUAGCUCAAACUAAAUGACUACAAUGAUACGAACUAUAGCGGUCCAUUUCUUCAUAUUGAAAAUUUUCUUUCAUAAUUACCAUAUCAUCUUCAUUUCCUAACUGAGUAUUUUAUAUAGUACAACUUUAUGAAUGAAUUUAAAACUAUAUGUCCAUUCGUUAAUAGACAACUUUAUGUCUAUUAAAUGGUCCAGCACAGUUGCAUUAAACUUUAACUUUAUUGAAAGAAGAUAAAUAUUACAACUUUAUACAUCAACAGAACUAAUCAAACUUAUACCGCUAAUAU